UUUCACUAAGUCAAGCCUACAUCAUGUAUGACUUCAGGGUACCGCUGAGGCUUAUCAUUUUAUAUAGUGCAGGAUUUCUGGGAAUCGGUGCCCACGUUGGUGCCCACAUUGGUGUUUGUGUUCACUGGGAAAAUCAGAGAGGUAGUCUUAAUACCUUCAUGCUGUCCCAUUACAACAACAAACCAACAAACGCCAACAGAACUAUGAUUAUUCUCCAAUGAAUCAAAACAGCAAACACAGGGAACUUCUGCCUUGUAAAGGAGACCCGGGAUAAAGAAUGCAGAAAACAUGUGUUUUUGCUAAGGGUAAGAGGAGGCAGUAGAAAACUAAACUUAAAAUGCUUUGGAUAUGAACUCCCCCAUGGGAGUAUAAACUGAGCGGAACUAAGCAACACCCACAAGCCCUUGACUGCCAACAGCUCCCCUCUGCUUAGAAGAACUUUGCCAAUGGCUUUUGCCUCUGGCACAAAGACUAGUAAUAAGAUGAACCUAGUAUUUCUAGGCCUAAGCUUUCUAAAUGACAAGCAAGGAGGAAAAAAAAAAAAAAAAAAAAAGCCCUGGUAAGUAGAUCGCCAUGUGGAUCGAGGUACAGAUUUGGCCAGUGAAACGAUGUUACAAAAUUAUAAAUGGUCUAGAAGACUCUGUGCCUUCAUCAAAAAGUACUGGCCAAAUUUGGAAACUGAAAGUGGGAUCCACCGGGAUUUGUGGUCUUUUAUCACUCCCUGCUGUGCUAGUUACACUAGUUACAGGUAACGUUGAGCAGUGUCAGAGUCAAGUCUGUGAAGCCCCCAAGUGCAGAGCCAACCACCUGCAUAGAGACAUCAGAUCCCCUGGGACUGAGGUCCCCGGUGGUUGGGAGCUGCCAGGUGGUGCCAGAGAUUGGAUAUGGGUCCUUAGCAAGAGCCCUCAAAAAAAAAAUGAAAAAAAAACCUGUUAUGUAAUUAGCUCUGAGUAUCUCUAAGAUAACUGUUUAUAUCUACCUAUUUGUAGAGAACACAUAUUUUUGGCGUGGUAUACAUGGUUACAUGUGUGUGCCCAUAUGUAGUGGAUGCCUAUGUGCGCGUGGAGGUUACAAGUUAGCCUUGUGAGCUUUUGACUCGAGCAGACGUCAACUUACCAACUGAGCCAUCUCAUUAGACUCUUAGAAGAGAGGGUUUCCUUGAUCAGUAAAGAUUAAGGGAGACCAUUCCAAAGUUCCGGGGCGCUUACUUCAGUGCCCAUCAUAUUUAAAGGUCCCUUGGACCGAGAGUCUGUGCUUCCUUUUAAGUUGCUUAGUUCAGCUGUAGAGUAUGAGGGCUGACAUAGCGUGUUUUUACAAUAACAUCUGUAAGGUGUUUCCAAAUUCUGGCUUAAGCAGAAUGCCCAGAGGCUAAAUUUGAAUUCUGAAUAUUCCCAAGAUUAUAAAAAUGAGCGCUGUGUAAGCAGAACCCCUUAAGCUCCAGCCCUAAAUCAGUCCAGAUUAGUAAGAAAUAGGUUUGUUUUCUUUUACUCUGACAAUUUUUAUGAAAAGGGGGUCAAUCAGGACUUCACCAGGGGCUCCGCAUAAAUGUUCAAACACUGGGAGCCGCUUAGUAAAGACUUGAUAAGUGAUCAGCUGAUUGAGGGGACUCUUCCCCCUGGAGUGUGCGGUACUUAACCCUUUAUUUGUUGUUACAGAGCAUAGUAUGACAAGCGGCCUUUUGGAUUCCCACUGUACCGGAAACAUCCGAGGAGGAUACGAGAUAAACCACAGGAUUCCUAGAUACUGGGAAACAGCCGUAGAGUAUGAGAGUUGUUACUGUCAUCCCGUGAGAAACUCUGAGCGUGUGAAAAUGCCUGUCCACAGACAAGCAGUCUCUUAGUGCUUCACUGAAAUUCCAGAGAGGACAGCAUAUAAAUUGAGGGGGGAAAAAAAAAGAAACCUGGCUACCCAGAGCUCUUCAAUAAACUUAACAGCUGCCCAAAGACAGGAGAUUUAAAUAAAUGUACAUUCAAUGC
rnacentral:lncRNA from 1 species